rnacentral:rRNA from 1 species
GAGCCGGAGGGAAACCGAGUCUUAACCGGGCGUUAAGUUGCAGGGUAUAGACCCGAAACCCGGUGAUCUAGCCAUGGGCAGGUUGAAGGUUGGGUAACACUAACUGGAGGACCGAACCGACUAAUGUUGAAAAAUUAGCGGAUGACCUGUGGCUGGGGGUGAAAGGCCAAUCAAACCGGGAGAUAGCUGGUUCUCCCCGAAAGCUAUUUAGGUAGCGCCUCGUGAAUUCAUCUCCGGGGGUAGAGCACUGUUUCGGCUAGGGGGCCAUCCCGGCUUACCAACCCGAUGCAAACUGCGAAUACCGGAGAAUGUUAUCACGGGAGACACACGGCGGGUGCUAACGUCCGUCGUGAAGAGGGAAACAACCCAGACCGCCAGCUAAGGUCCCAAAGUCAUGGUUAAGUGGGAAACGAUGUGGGAAGGCCCAGACAGCCAGGAUGUUGGCUUAGAAGCAGCCAUCAUUUAAAGAAAGCGUAAUAGCUCACUGGUCGAGUCGGCCUGCGCGGAAGAUGUAACGGGGCUAAACCAUGCACCGAAGCUGCGGCAGCGACGCUGAUGCGUUGUUGGGUAGGGGAGCGUUCUGUAAGCCUGCGAAGGUGUGUCGUGAGGCAUGCUGGAGGUAUCAGAAGUGCGAAUGCUGACAUAAGUAACGAUAAAGCGGGUGAAAAGCCCGCUCGCCGGAAGACCAAGGGUUCCUGUCCAACGUUAAUCGGGGCAGGGUGAGUCGACCCCUAAGGCGAGGCCGAAAGGCGUAGUCGAUGGGAAACGGGUUAAUAUUCCCGUACUUGGUGUUACUGCGAAGGGGGGACGGAGAAGGCUAUGUUGGCCGGGCGACGGUUGUCCCGGUUUAAGCGUGUAGGUGUGUGUUCCAGGUAAAUCCGGUUCACUUUAACACUGAGGCGUGAUGACGAGGCACUACGGUGCUGAAGCAACAAAUGCCCUGCUUCCAGGAAAAGCCUCUAAGCAUCAGGUAACAUCAAAUCGUACCCCAAACCGACACAGGUGGUCAGGUAGAGAAUACCAAGGCGCUUGAGAGAACUCGGGUGAAGGAACUAGGCAAAAUGGUGCCGUAACUUCGGGAGAAGGCACGCUGACACGUAGGUGAAGUGAUUUACUCAUGGAGCUGAAGUCAGUCGAAGAUACCAGCUGGCUGCAACUGUUUAUUAAAAACACAGCACUGUGCAAACACGAAAGUGGACGUAUACGGUGUGACGCCUGCCCGGUGCCGGAAGGUUAAUUGAUGGGGUCAGCGCAAGCGAAGCUCCUGAUCGAAGCCCCGGUAAACGGCGGCCGUAACUAUAACGGUCCUAAGGUAGCGAAAUUCCUUGUCGGGUAAGUUCCGACCUGCACGAAUGGCGUAAUGAUGGCCAGGCUGUCUCCACCCGAGACUCAGUGAAAUUGAACUCGCUGUGAAGAUGCAGUGUACCCGCGGCAAGACGGAAAGACCCCGUGAACCUUUACUAUAGCUUGACACUGAACAUUGAGCCUUGAUGUGUAGGAUAGGUGGGAGGCUUUGAAGUGUGGACGCCAGUCUGCAUGGAGCCGGCCUUGAAAUACCACCCUU